rnacentral:rRNA from 1 species
CACGCCCUAAACUAUGGAUACUCGACAUUUGCGAUACACUGCAAGUGUCUGAGCGAAAGCAUUAAGUAUCCCACCUGGGAAGUACGAUCGCAAGAUUGAAACUCAAAGGAAUUGGCGGGG